CCGCUGAACUUAAGCAUAUCACUAAGCGGAGGAAAAGAAACUAACUAGGAUUGUCUCAGUACCGGCGAGGGAAGCGGCAAGAGCCCAAAGUGGUAAUCUCCGGCCUGCGGUCGGCGAAUUGUAAUCUAAAGGUACGGAGCCUAAUUGGCUGAGGCGCAGAAGUGGUCACGAGAGACCCGCCAGAGAGGGUGAAAGCCCCGUAUGUGGUGCCUUGGCUUACCGGGCUGCGGGCCGAAGAGUCGAGUUGUUUUGUAUUGCAGCUCUAAGUGGGAGAUAAACUUCUCCUAAGGCUAAAUACGUGUGGGAAACCGAUAGCGAACAAGUACUGUGAAGGAAAGAUGAAAAGCACUUUGAAAAGAGAGUUAAAAGACCUGAAAUCGUUGAGGCGGAAGCGGUAGAAGAUAAUUCUGGCUGCGGCACCGCGAACCCUGCGAUAGCGGGGGGGUAGUGACGUGGCAUGAGCCAGGAUGGGGUCGUACGACGGCAGAGGCGGUUGGCGCAAGGGUGGCAACACACAGCGUCGGUUGGCCGGUCGGGUGCGGCUCGAGGGGCUUUGUGCGAUCUUGGCAAAAUGGAUUUUACCGACCCGUCUUGAAACACGGACCAAGGAGUCUAACACGCGCGCGAGUCUGGUGGUGGAAAAACCAACGGGCGAAAUGAAAGUGAUUGGUGCCAAGUUUACGCAGCAUCGACCGACCUUGAUCCACUGGUGAAGGGUUUGAGUAAGAGCGUGCUUGUUAGGA
rnacentral:rRNA from 1 species